GAGUUUGAUUCUGGCUCANGAGAAACGCUGGCGGCGUGCCUAACACAUGCAAGUCGAACGCUCUCUGGCUGGCAACAGCUAGAGGGAGUGGCGGACGGGUGAGUAACACGUGGAUAAUCUACCUCGUGGUGAGGAAUACCGGCGAGAAAUCGCCAACAAUACCGCAUAUGGUUGGCAACAACCAAAGUCGUGCAAGCGACGCCACGAGAGGAGUCCGCGCCCGAUUAGCUGGUUGGUGGGGUAAGAGCUCACCAAGGCGACGAUCGGUAGCUGGUCUGAGAGGAUGAUCAGCCACACUGGGAUUGAGAACGGCCCAGACUCCUACGGGAGGCAGCAGUGAGGAAUUUUCCGCAAUGGACGCAAGUCUGACGGAGCAACGCCGCGUGCAGGAAGACGGUCUUCGGAUUGUAAACUGCUUUUACCAGGGAAGAGAACGGACGGUACCUGGUGAAGAAGCCCCGGCUAACUACGUGCCAGCAGCCGCGGUAAUACGUAGGGGGCAAGCGUUCUCCGGAAUUAUUGGGCGUAAAGCGCGCGCAGGCGGUUCGCUAAGUUCGAAGUGACAAUCACCAGCUUAACUGGUGAGGUGCUUUGAAAACUGGUGGACUUGAGAGCGAGAGAGGGACACGGAACUCCAGGUGGAGCGGUGAAAUGCGUAGAGAUCUGGAAGAACACCAAAGGCGAAGGCAGUGUCCUGGCUCGUUUCUGACGCUCAAGCGCGAAAGCUAGGGGAGCGAACGGGAUUAGAUACCCCGGUAGUCCUAGCCGUAAACGAUGACCACUAGACGCACGACGUAUUGACCCGUUGUGUGUCGUAGCUAACGCGUUAAGUGGUCCGCCUGAGGAGUACGACCGCAAGGUUAAAACUCAAAGGAAUUGACGGGGACCCGCACAAGCAGCGGAGCGUGUGGUUUAAUUCGAUGCAACGCGAAGAACCUUACCAGGGGUUGACAUGCUCUUGAGCACCGGAGAAAUCCGGUUCCCGCAAGGGCAAGAGCACAGGUGCUGCAUGGCUGUCGUCAGCUCGUGUCGUGAGAUGUCUGGUUAAGUCCUCUAACGAGCGCAACCCUUACUGUUAGUUGAAUUUCUCUAACAGGACUGCCGUUACAAAGCGGAGGAAGGUGGGGAUGACGUCAAGUCAGCACGGCCCUGACCUCCUGGGCGACACACACGCUACAAUGGCCGAGACAAAGAGUCGCGAACCCGCGAGGGGGAGCCAAUCUCGUCAAACUCGGCCUCAGUUCGGAUUGCAGGCUGCAACCCGCCUGCAUGAAGCUGGAGUUGCUAGUAACCGUAGGUCAGCACACUACGGUGAAUACGUUCCCGGGUCUUGUACACACCGCCCGUCACACCACGAAAGUCGGCAACACCUGAAGCCGCCGGGCUAACCCAACUGGGAGGCAGGCGUCGAGGGUGAGGUCGGUGAUUGGGGUGAAGUCGUAACAAGGUAG
rnacentral:rRNA from 1 species